rnacentral:rRNA from 1 species
AGCGAACGCUGGCGGCAGGCUUAACACAUGCAAGUCGAGCGGGCACUUCGGUGUCAGCGGCAGGCGGGUGAGUAACACGUGGGAACGUACCCUUCGGUUCGGAAUAACGCUGGGAAACUAGCGCUAAUACCGGAUACGCCCUUUUGGGGAAAGGUUUACUGCCGAAGGAUCGGCCCGCGUCUGAUUAGCUAGUUGGUGGGGUAAUGGCCUACCAAGGCGACGAUCAGUAGCUGGUCUGAGAGGAUGAUCAGCCACACUGGGACUGAGACACGGCCCAGACUCCUACGGGAGGCAGCAGUGGGGAAUAUUGGACAAUGGGCGCAAGCCUGAUCCAGCCAUGCCGCGUGAGUGAUGAAGGCCUUAGGGCUGUAAAGCUCUUUUGUCCGGGACGAUAAUGACGGUACCGGAAGAAUAAGCCCCGGCUAACUUCGUG